CUGCUGCCUCCCGUAGGAGUUUGGGCCGUGUCUCAGUCCCAAUGUGGCCGUCCACCCUCUCAGGCCGGCUACUGAUCGUCGCUUUGGUAGGCCGUUACCCUGCCAACUGGCUAAUCAGACGCGGGCCCAUCUUAUACCACCGGAGUUUUUCACCCUGGGCCAUGCGGCCCUGGGCGCUUAUGCGGUCUUAGCACCUAUUUCUAAGUGUUAUCCCCCUGUAUAAGGCAGGUUACCCACGCGUUACUCACCCGUCCGCCACUAAAGUAAAAUUG
rnacentral:rRNA from 1 species